rnacentral:tRNA from 1 species
GCCGAAGUGGUGGAAUUGGUAGACGCGCUGCAUUCAGGGUGCAGUGGGCGAUAGCCCGUCCGGGUUCGAGUCCCGGCUUCGGCA